ensembl:lncRNA
CACACACUGGCAGUGCCAGCCGGGGCUCCUCCAUGUCCUGCUGACAAAGGUCAGGCAGGAGGCAGACAGGCCUUUCUCCGCUCCCUGCCUGGCCUGGACCGGGCGCUGCCAUGGCUGCGGCCCCCACGCAAGACAGCCGACAGGACCCGCUUCCUCACUCUGCUGAUUACGAUGCUGGAGUCUGUGCUCAGCCCCGCGGUUCCCAGCCAAAGGUCCGGCCUGGCGUCCCCGCCUGCUGCUUCCUUUCCUGCUGACUGGGUGCCCUGGACCCUCUGAGGACAGGAAAGCGGCGCCAAGAACUCAGGCAGAAAAUACAAGUGAUAAAAACAACUGGAAUGUUCGAAGGUGUGACCAGCUCCCUGGGAGGGGGGCCUCGAGCAAACCGGGAGCCGCUGGGGUCGGGAGGAGUCACUAACAGCCAGUGCGCCCAGAUCACGCCGGGCCUGAAAGCAGACCCGGCCGCAUCCACGCAGCUAGCAGUUACCCGGCUCAGCGCAGGAGGCGCCGGCCACCGCCGCCGCUGCUUCCGCAGCCCGGCUCUCCGGCCCCCGGGCCGUCUGUAGCAGCCAAGGCCGCGCACCUGCUCCCGCUGGCGGCCCCACGCGGCGCGGCAUCCUGGUGC